GCUUCUCCUUCCUAGACCCGUGGGAGCUGAAGAGAACCUUUCUCCAAUCGAAACGUCUUCCCUGGGAUCGCUCCUCAUAAGACGGCCUCCCCGUCUCCCAUCUCCCCAUCUCAAACCCCACGCGGUGGUGGACGCACUAGAAGUCUAGAAACCAACCUCCUCUAGGGUUUGGGGCCGUCAUCGGCGAUACAAACGGCGGCGAGCCUUGCGGGCCAAGGGCAGGAUCACAAGACGAUCAAUCUGGAGGAUGGGUGGACAUGCAGAAGGGCAUCAACAUCCUUGAGGGCAAGCAAGAGCCGCAGUACAUGUUCGAGGAUUACAUGAUGCGCUCUGCAUGUACAAAUCGCCUCCAUCCGACCAUGGCUAGCUUAUGCCCGAUUCGAUCUGUUCUGAACUACAGAUUAGUCCCCUGUUUUGUGGGUGUAUGUAUGUCGGCGCUGUUGGUUUUCCGGUCCAGUGAGUCAAGGCGGAUCUGAUUGUCUUUUUAUUUCCAACAUGCUCUGACGGGUGUGCAUUUGUGGAUUUUUUGGAUUCAGGUCAGUUUAUUUGGAUCCAUGGGCCAAACAAACAGCAUCAGGAAGCUGGAAAACUGAACCCUUCAUUCCGACAGCUUGGAGGAAUGCUGGAUCCAGCCCCCAUCUUUGUUGUGUUGUAUAUAGAUCUGCUCUCACUUGCGUAUAUGAGGUGAGCAUUCAACAAUCUCUGAUCUUCUAGCAUGGCAAUGGUGUUUUUUGGCCACCUGACUCUGCAGCUAGGGAGGAAGACAUCUAGGUUGCUCCUUUCUAUCAGUGAUAAGCUUACAAGCAGGGACAACGACGAUGUUUCUGAAAUUCAAGGUGUUGUGGCCUGUUCACCUGCUAUUGUAAUUUCCUUGACGGUAAUUAAAUAGAUGAAUUAAUCCAGUAGUUAUGAGCUCAGUUCCUCCUGGACAGCCGGGCCAAACUGACCAAUUUCUCUCCUCUUCUCGCCUUAACUUGUGGCGAGAGGUGCAGCUUGAAAGAGUAGUUACAAACUAAUAAAUUAACGGGCAUCCGAGGAGACACAUUAUGUACUUUAUUAUACAAAUGUAUUCUCCUAGCGCCAGUUGAUUUUCUUAUGCCACUCCUCCCUUGUGUACAUUCUUUUGUCCCCAGAUAGUUUAUGAAUUACUUGCAUUUUUACCAUACUUAAAAAAAAUAGCUUAGAAACAAAAUAGUCGCACAUACAUGGAUCCAACAUCCAAAUUUAUUUCUUUUACAUUCAGCUAUAGCUAUGCUGAUUUUGAUGCACUCUUUUCAUGUAUUUAACAUGCAAGUGUUAUCAUUGAAAGGCUUCUUCGUUUCUAAUUCGUUGUAUUAACACUACUGUUUCCGGUCUAUGCAAGCAUCUAUAUUCUUUGAAAGAUAUGUUUGCCGGAAGUGUUUUGAUGGACAGGAGGUCACUGUUUAUUUUUUACAUGGUUUAUUUCUCCACACUAAAACAUUUAGCAAUAAAAAUUUCCCGCAGCAACGCGCGGGGAAUCAUCUAGUAUAGAGAAACUUAGAUAAUUGUAUUGAUCUUCUCCGCACUAGCUUACAAAAUACAAAAUACAAGUCUGGAGAAGAGUUUGCCCAAGCCAUCUAGGGUUAGGGAAGGAAUUCGAGAGGAGAUCUCUCGGCAGUAUAGAAAACUCUUCUUC